rnacentral:rRNA from 1 species
GACGAACGCUGGCGGCGUGCCUAAUACAUGCAAGUCGAGCGGAAGUUGGAGAGCUUGCUCUUCAACUUUAGCGGCGGACGGGUGAGUAACACGUGGGCAACCUGCCCUGCAGAUCGGGAUAACUCCGGGAAACCGGUGCUAAUACCGAAUAGUUUUCGCCACCUCCUGGUGGCGUACGGAAAGACGGUUUCGGCUGUCACUGCAGGAUGGGCCCGCGGCGCAUUAGCUAGUUGGUGGGGUAACGGCCCACCAAGGCAACGAUGCGUGGCCGACCGGAGAGGGUGAUCGGCCACACUGGGACUGAGACACGGCCCAGACUCCUACGGGAGGCAGCAGUAGGGAAUCUUCCGCAAUGGACGAAAGUCUGACGGAGCAACGCCGCGUGAGUGACGAAGGUUUUCGGAUCGUAAAACUCUGUUGUGAGGGAAGAACAAGUACCAACUAACUACUGGUACCUUGACGGUACCUCACCAGAAAGCCACGGCUAACUACGUGCCAGCAGCCGCCGUAACAC